rnacentral:rRNA from 1 species
UACGAAAGGGGCUAGCGUUGUUCGGAAUUACUGGGCGUAAAGCGCACGUAGGCGGCCUAGCAAGUUGGGGGCGAAAUCCCAGGGCUCAACCCUGGAACUGCCUUCAAAACUGCUAAGCUUGAGGAUGUGAGAGGUUGGCGGAAUUCCGAGUGUAGAGGUGAAAUUCGUAGAUAUUCGGAAGAACACCAGUGGCGAAGGCGGCCAACUGGCACAUUUCUGACGCUGAGGUGCGAAAGCGUGGGGAGCAAACAGG